UUGACCUACGGGGGGCAGCAGUGGGGAAUAUUGCACAAUGGGGGAAACCCUGAUGCAGCAACGCCGCGUGAGUGAAGAAGUAUUUCGGUAUGUAAAGCUCUAUCAGCAGGGAAGAAAGAAAUGACGGUACCUGACUAAGAAGCCCCGGCUAACUACGUGCCAGCAGCCGCGGUAAUACGUAGGGGGCAAGCGUUAUCCGGAUUUACUGGGUGUAAAGGGAGCGUAGACGGCGAUGCAAGUCUGAAGUGAAAGGCGGGGGCCCAACCUCCGGACUGCUUUGGAAACUGUAUGGCUGGAGUGCAGGG
rnacentral:rRNA from 1 species